GUGCCUCAAGGGUGUCGAAUUAACAUUUGGACCCUACAGUCAAUUACCUAGGGGGCUGUCCCUGUCGGGGGUGUGCAUGCCUGGUUUACCAGGAAGCCUAAAGCCGACAUACGGUGCCCACGUUACUUUCCUGGGUUCCAAUUGGCUUCGCCAUUCUUGAGGCACA
rnacentral:other from 1 species